AUGUAAUCACAUGACCAUUCCAAGAUGGAGGAGGGAUGGCAUUUGGAUGCAUUUGAUGAUGGUUCUUUGCGAAUUGUUGGAGAAGCGCAGUUGAAAAAAUAUGGACAAUUUUUGGAAGAAUACGCCUCGCAAUUGAAAGGCAUCGAAGAUGCUUUGGACGACACAGUUGGAGAUUCAUGGGAUUUUACCUUGGACCCUAUCGCUUUACAAAUUUUGCCAUAUGAGCAAUCAAAACUUUU